CAGCGCUUACCUCUCUUGUUGCUAAAGAAUUGGAGUUAGGGCACAUCGAACCAUCUCUUAGUCAGUGGAACACUGUAUUUGUUAUUAAGAAAAGGUCGGGGGCAUUUCGUUUAUUGCAUGACUUACGUGCUGUUAAUACACAGCUUCUUCCUUUUGGCCCAGUUCAGCAGGGCGGUCCUGUCCUAUCAGCCAUACCAAAGCAAUGGCCAAUGGUGGUGAUUGAUCUCAAGGAUUGCUUCUUUUCCAUUCCAUUGGCUGAGCAGGACAGAGAGGCAUUUGCAUUUAC
rfam:Callipepla squamata strain Texas jcf7180005189911, whole genome shotgun sequence.